GGCCGAGUAGUUCAGUUGGUUAGAAUGCCAGCCUGUCACGCUGGAGGUCGAGGGUUCGAGCCCCUUCUCGGUCGCCA
rnacentral:tRNA from 2 species